rnacentral:lncRNA from 1 species
UCCAGAUCCCCACCCCUAAACCAUAUAUAUUCUUGUAGUGGACAAUAAAACAAAUGAAAUGAAAUAAAAGGGAAGUCCCGAGGGAGUCACCCCACCCCCUCUUGUUUGAAAACUUGUAAACGGUCAACAUCCCCACCCCUAAACCAUAUAUAUACUUGUAUGGGAUAAUAAAGCUAAUCAAAUGAAAUUUAAGGGAAGUUCCUGGGGGUUGCCCCACCCGUUCAAUUUGAGAAUGUGCUAUUAUCUUGUAAAUGGUCCAGAUCCCCACCCCUAAACCAUAUUUAUUCUUGUAGGGGACAAUAAAACAAAUGAAAUGAAAUAAAAGGGAAGUCCCGAGGGGUCACCCCACCCCCUCUUGUUUGAAUACUUGUAAACGGUCAACAUCCCCACCCCUAAACCACAUAUAUUCUUGUAUUGGACAAUAAAACAAAUCAAAUGAAAUGUAGGUAAAGUCUCUGGGGGUUACCACCACCUCCUCCU